GUAUCCUUCCAAACCAAAAUUCGGUGCACAUCUUGAACUCUCUUUUCUACGACAACUCAGCCUACUGCUUUUUACAGAAAUGGAACAAACCCAUUUGAGUUCUCUCAUCAUACACUUAAACGAUUUACUCUUAACUCCCUAAGUGUUCAUCCACGUGAAAGAGAGUAAAGAGAACUCUAGUUUUCAUACUUUUGCAAACAGAGAAACAUCAGAAAGAACCCAUAGCCAACAUUGUUACAUGUCUUACCUUAAUUUCCUACUCAUCAAGUGACCUUCCUAAAGCUACGUUCAUGCUACUUAUGUGUGAAAUCUUAAGAUCGUUUGUUGUUUCGUUGAGAACCGCUACGUGGCUUAGAGUUUGGUUAGGAAGAAAAGUUCUUGAGUUUUAAGUCAUUUCUCUCUUGCAAGCUCUUUUGUGGAACUAGAAGUCUAGUUAGAAUGGUGUGGAACUAAAAGCCUCAUUUAAGAAUAAAGCGUGCAAGGUACCCAUGAACAUGAAGAGAUAUGUUUGCUUUGGUGUUUUGCUUGAAGCGCGACGGGGACACAAAUUGGGUUUUUGAUCGAAUUGUAAUUUGAAAAGUGAUUUGAAGGAUGUUUAUGUUACGAAUAUUUGUAUUGGUUUUUAUUAGGAAUUUAUUAUUAAUGAGGAAAAAAAAUAAUAGUGAUUUUCUAAAAAUGAAAAUGAAUUAGGCGUAAUGUCUUAGACCAAAAUUCAGGACGUUACAGUUGGGGUGUGACAGAUGUCCAUAUUUAAAUUUAUUCGUUCAGAGAUUUGAAGAUAGAAUCUUUGAGUUGACGAUCCGAAGAGACUUAAAUACAAAGUACACAAUUUUUGACCUAAGAUGUUGUGAAAUGCUCGUGAUGCAAGUAUGAAUGCAGGACGACAAAGAUGAUUUGAUUGGGAAAGAAAAACAACAUGAUAUCCAAAUUCGUUGAAGAAAGGGAUCCGACUCCGGGGGUAAUUUAGUUUCACUAGGAAAAUGUUGUCUACUAUCAUAUCAGUAGUUAUAUCAAUUGCUGUAUUUAAUAUUAAAUAUCAAUUAAGACAAACUUACUUUUUAAUUAAA